GGAAAGGUGAAAAGAACCCCGAACAGGGGAGUGAAAUAGAACCUGAAACCAUACGCUUACAACCGGUCGGAGCAGCUUCGUGCUGUGACGGCGUGCCUAUUGAAUAAUGAGCCUACGAGUUACUAAUCACUAGCGAGGUUAAGUGCAAGGAUGCACGGAGCCGAAGCGAAAGCGAGUCUGAACAGGGCGUUUAGUUAGUGGUUGUAGACGCGAAACCUUGCGAUCUACCCUUGAGCAGGUUGAAGGUUGGGUAAAACCAACUGGAGGACCGAACGAAUAAGCGUUGAAAAGCUUCUCGAUGACUUGAGGGUAGGGGUGAAAGGCUAAUCAAGCUGGGAAAUAGCUCGUACUCCCCGAAAUGCCUUUUGGGGCAGCGUUGUAAUAAAGAGUCUACUGGAGGUAGAGCUACUGAUUGGAUGCGGGGGCUUCACCGCCUACCAAAUCCUGACAAACUCCGAAUGCCAGUAGUAUGAUUUACAGCAGUGAGUGACUGGGUGCUAAUGUCCAGUCGCAAAAGAGGAACAACUCAGACCAGCAACUAAGGUCCCGAAGAAUAUGCUAAGUUGAUCUAACGAUGUUUUGUUGCAGAGACAGCUAGGAUGUUAGCUUGGAAGCAGCUAUUCAUUCAAAGAGUGCGUAACAGCUCACUAGUCGAGCGACAGAGCGUGGAUAAUAAACGGGCAUCAAGCAUAUCACCGAAGUUCUGGGCGCGAGAGCGCGGUAGGGGAGCAUUCCAUUCAGCGUCGAAGCAGUUUCGUGAGGAAUUGUGGAGCGUAUGGAAAAGCAAAUGUAGGCAUGAGUAACGAUAAUGCGGGAGAGUAACCCGCACACCGCAAGACCAAGGUUUCCUGAUCAACGCUAAUCGGAUCAGGGUUAGUCGGGUCCUAAGGGUAAGCCGAACGGCGAUCUCGAUGGAUAAUCGGUUAAUAUUCCGAUACUAACAUAUACCUCGAUGGAGAGACGAAGGAACGUAAGUGCCGCCACCUGACGGAAUAGGUGGUUAAAGGGCGUAGGUAUAGGGGCAGAUUAAGAGUUAGUCCUUGCUGAAACCUGACAGUACAGAGAGCCUACGGGCAAUUUGAUAGAGCACCCAAGUCGACUUCCGAGAAAAUCUUCUAAGUUAUAGUAUAUGUUACCCGUACCGUAAACCGACACAGGUGGUCGAGGAGAGUAUCCUAAGGUGCUCGAGUGAAUCACGGUUAAGGAACUAGGCAAAUUAACCCCGUAACUUCGGGAAAAGGGGUCCCUAUGAAAGUAGGGCGCAGCGAAGAGGUCCAGGCGACUGUUUAUCAAAAACACAGGGCUCUGCAAAUUCGAAAGAAGACGUAUAGGGCCUGACACCUGCCCGGUGCUGGAAGGUUAAGAGGGGAUGUCAUCGCAAGAGAAGCAUUGAAUCGAAGCCCCAGUAAACGGCGGCCGUAACUAUAACGGUCCUAAGGUAGCGAAAUUCCUUGUCGGGUAAGUUCCGACCUGCACGAAUGGUGUAACGAUCUGGACACUGUCUCAACCGUGAGCUCGGUGAAAUUGUAGUCCCGGUGAUGAUGCCGGGUACCCGCAACGGGACGAAAAGACCCCGUGAACCUUUACUAUAGCUUAACGCUGAAUUUGGGUACACAAUGUGUAGGAUAGGCCGGAGGCUUUGAAGCGGGCACGCCAGUGUUCGUGGAGCCGACGUUGAAAUACGGCCCUUUGUGUAUUUGAGUUCUAACCCUGCGAAGGGGACACCGUUUGGUGGGUAGUUUGACUGGGGUGGUCGCCUCCAAAAGCGUAACGGAGGCUUCCCAAGGUACCCUCAGCACGAAUGGUAACCGUGCGCGGAGUGCAAUAGCAUAAGGGUGCUUGACUGUGAGACAUACAAGUCGACCAGGUACGAAAGUAGGGUAUAGUGAUCCGGUGGUUCUGCGUGGACUGGCCAUCGCUCAAAGGAUAAAAGGUACUCCGGGGAUAACAGGCUGAUCGCCGCCAAGAGCUCAUAUCGACGCGGCGGUUUGGCACCUCGAUGUCGGCUCGUCACAUCCUGGGGCUGGAGAAGGUCCCA
rnacentral:rRNA from 1 species